GCGCAGAGUGCCCGCAGCGCCGGCAGGAGCGCGGCGCAGCUCAGCGCGGCGUGCACGGCUGGAGCGGCCCGCGAGUGGACGGGCCCGGAGGCGCCGUUGCUACCUAGCUCGCACCCCGCCGCCGCCCAUGAGCGCAUCCCCGCGCGACCCGGGUCCGUAGGCCGCGGGGCGCCCCCCAUGCUGCUGCAGCCCGCGCCGUGCGCCCCGAGCGCGGGCUUCCCGCGGCCCCCGGCCGCCCCCGGCGCCAUGCACGGCUCGCAGAAGGACACCACGUUCACCAAGAUCUUCGUGGGCGGCCUGCCAUACCACACCACCGACGCCUCGCUCAGGAAGUACUUCGAGGGCUUCGGGGACAUCGAGGAGGCCGUGGUCAUCACCGACCGCCAGACGGGCAAGUCCCGCGGCUACGGCUUUGUGACCAUGGCUGACCGGGCGGCAGCUGAGAGGGCUUGCAAAGACCCUAACCCCAACAUCGACGGCCGCAAGGCCAACGUGAACCUGGCUUAUCUGGGCGCCAAGCCGCGGAGCCUCCAUUCGGGCUUUGCCAUCGGUGUACAGCAGCUGCACCCCACCCUGAUCCAGCGCACGUAUGGGUUGACCCCCCACUACAUCUACCCGCAAGCCAUCGUCCAGCCCAGCGUGGUGAUCCCGGCCGCCCCCGUCCCCUCGCUGUCCUCGCCCUACAUCGAGUACACGCCGGCCAGCCCGGCUUACGCGCAGUACCCGCCGGCCACCUACGACCAGUACCCCUACGCCGCCUCGCCCGCCUCGCCCGCCGGCUUCGUGAGCUACAGCUACCCGGCCGCCGUGCCCCCGGGCCUCGCGGCCGCGGCCCCCGCAGGCACCGCCUUCGUGCAGUACCAGCCCCCGCAGCUGCAGCCCGACAGGAUGCAGUGAGGCCGCGGCCCCGGCUGCGGCCCGUCGCCCACACGCCCACCAGGCGAGCGGCCGGCCGGGCUUGGGGUGCGCACCGGCACCUGUGCUCUGGGGACCCCAAGACCCGUGCCCGCACCCCGGAUGGCCCAGAAGCCACUUCCCUCUGUAUCCAGGACCUGCCACGCGUCAAGGGAGGGCUUUGAGAGAAAGACGGAGCGAGAGCUCCAGAGAACGCAAGCCAGACCUCCCCGCACCCACAGCCCGCCUUCCCCUUCACCUGCCUGAGCGCCGGGCCGACGUGCCCCUGGCCUGUCCCCCAGUGUCCACCUCCCCACUCCCCGCAGACCCGGCUCCCUCAGGCUCUGCAGAAACUGUGUCCUGUUCAGAGAUGCCUUACUCCAGGGAAACCCAAACGAGUGACGUGAAUUGACUGUUUGCUGUCACUCCGCCCGCACAAGCUGUGAACGCAGGAGAAUGUGUGUAGAAACCACCGCCUCGUGGAAUUCCAGUUCCCGGCCAGGCCACGGGGGUGGCUUCUCGAGCCCCCGGGCAGCAGGGCCGCCAGCCUCGGCCCGGCCCCUGGCCCCUGAAGCACUGCAGCCUUUUUUUCUUACCGUCAUUGUUUUGCUACUAAGAUGAUUCAGAAUUUCAGUUUAUUUUUUUCAAUGGAGGCUCCUGCCCCGAAGAAACCAGGACCUGGGUUUGACUUUGAGAUGCUCCCUCCUGUCCGUGGCUCCGCCCGGGGAGACGGGGACAGCGUUUCUGUUUGAAAAAGCGUCCUGUCGCUUGAGCACCAGGAGCCCCUCCGAGGGUGGACGUCUCCAGACCGGAGGGCUUUCUCAGCGACACCUCAGGGCCUCUCCUGGCCCCAGGAAAGGGUGUCCUCAGCUGGGGAUGCUCUGGACACUCUCAGAAGAGGCGCCCAGCACGGACCCGCCAGGGGACCGAGACAGGUGCCGCUGGAGAAGCCUUCAAAGAAGGUGAGCAAACCAUGGAUCCUGAGGAGCUGCGCAGACAGUUCACUGGCACACGGAAGAACGCCCAGCCUUGUAGGCAGAAAAAGAGAGGCAAACAAAAGCCCUAUUUAUUACAUGCUGAUUAAGUUAAAUAACUAUUAUAAAAUGAUAAAGCCUGGCGCUGGCAAGGGUGUGGGGAAAAUGGCAAACCGGAUGCAGGCUUUGAAGAUCCAUCUGAAUGAAGUAAGAGCUGUGAAACCACACACACCCUCUGCCCCAGCAGCAUGUCUUCUGACGAAAUGCUCUCGCUCUUGUCUUCAGGGGCAGAAACAUCUAUAGUGGCGCUAUUUGAAAGUGGGAGGUGGACAAAACA